UGUUUCGGCUAGGGGGCCAUCCCGGCUUACCAACCCGAUGCAAACUGCGAAUACCGGAGAAUGUUAUCACGGGAGACACACGGCGGGUGCUAACGUCCGUCGUGAAGAGGGAAACAACCCAGACCGCCAGCUAAGGUCCCAAAGUCAUGGUUAAGUGGGAAACGAUGUGGGAAGGCCCAGACAGCCAGGAUGUUGGCUUAGAAGCAGCCAUCAUUUAAAGAAAGCGUAAUAGCUCACUGGUCGAGUCGGCCUGCGCGGAAGAUGUAACGGGGCUAAACCAUGCACCGAAGCUGCGGCAGCGACGCUGAUGCGUUGUUGGGUAGGGGAGCGUUCUGUAAGCCUGUGAAGGUGGCCUGUGAGGGUUGCUGGAGGUAUCAGAAGUGCGAAUGCUGACAUAAGUAACGAUAAAGCGGGUGAAAAGCCCGCUCGCCGGAAGACCAAGGGUUCCUGUCCAACGUUAAUCGGGGCAGGGUGAGUCGACCCCUAAGGCGAGGCCGAAAGGCGUAGUCGAUGGGAAACGGGUUAAUAUUCCCGUACUUGGUGUUACUGCGAAGGGGGGACGGAGAAGGCUAUGUUGGCCGGGCGACGGUUGUCCCGGUUUAAGCGUGUAGGUGUGUGUUCCAGGUAAAUCCGGUUCACUUUAACACUGAGGCGUGAUGACGAGGCACUACGGUGCUGAAGCAACAAAUGCCCUGCUUCCAGGAAAAGCCUCUAAGCAUCAGGUAACAUCAAAUCGUACCCCAAACCGACACAGGUGGUCAGGUAGAGAAUACCAAGGCGCUUGAGAGAACUCGGGUGAAGGAACUAGGCAAAAUGGUGCCGUAACUUCGGGAGAAGGCACGCUGACACGUAGGUGAAGUGAUUUACUCA
rnacentral:rRNA from 1 species